UACGUAGGGUGCGAGCGUUGUCCGGAAUUAUUGGGCGUAAAGAGCUCGUAGGCGGUUUGUCGCAUCGUUCGUGAAAACUCCACGCUUAACGUGGAGCGUGCGGGCGAUACGGGCAGACUUGAGUUCGGUAGGGGAGACUGGAAUUCCUGGUGUAGCGGUGAAAUGCGCAGAUAUCAGGAGGAACACCGGUGGCGAGGGCGGGUCUCUGGGCCGAUACUGACGCUGAGGAGCGAAAGCGUGGGGAGCGAACAGG
rnacentral:rRNA from 1 species